rnacentral:rRNA from 1 species
UACGGAGGGUGCAAGCGUUAUCCGGAUUCACUGGGUUUAAAGGGUGCGUAGGUGGAUUAGUAAGUCAGUGGUGAAAUCUCCGGGCUUAACCCGGAAACUGCCAUUGAUACUAUUAGUCUUGAAUACCGUGGAGGUCAGCGGAAUAUGUCAUGUAGCGGUGAAAUGCUUAGAUAUGACAUAGAACACCAAUUGCGAAGGCAGCUGGCUACACGAAUAUUGACACUCAGGCAUGAAAGCGUGGGUAGCAAACCGG